UGGGGAAUAUUGCACAAUGGAGGAAACUCUGAUGCAGCGACGCCGCGUGAGGGAAGAAGGUCUUCGGAUUGUAAACCUCUGUCUUCGGGGACGAUAAUGACGGUACCCGAGGAGGAAGCCACGGCUAACUACGUGCCAGCAGCCGCGGUAAUACGUAGGGGGCAAGCGUUAUCCGGAUUUACUGGGUGUAAAGGGAGCGUAGACGGCUGUGCAAGUCUGAUGUGAAAGGCAGGGGCUCAACUCCUGGACUGCAUUGGAAACUGUGUAGCUUGAGUGCCGGAGAGGUAAGCGGAAUUCCUAGUGUAGCGGUGAAAUGCGUAGAUAUUAGGAGGAACACCAGUGGCGAAGGCGGCUUACUGGACGGUAACUGACGUUGAGGCUCGAAAGCGUGGGGAGCAAACAGGAUUGAUACC
rnacentral:rRNA from 1 species